GGGCGCUUAGCUCAGUUGGUCCAGAGCGCCGCCCUUACAAGGCGGAGGUCAAAGGUUCGAGUCCUUUAGCGCCCACCA
rnacentral:tRNA from 1 species